GUGAACAUAGUUUAAUGGUAGAACACCACUACGUCAUAGUGGCAGGUACCGGUUCGAGUCCGGCUGUUCUCG
rnacentral:tRNA from 2 species